UACAUUUAAUUUAUAAAUGAAUAACUUAUUCAACUAUCUAACAAUAUAAAAACUAAAAUCAAAAUGAAUUUAAAAACAAAUUCCACCUAAAAACCCUAAAAAGUCAAGAGUGCUCUCUGAGCAUCCCAAAGAAAUAACGAUUACUAUGGUUGGGCAGCGGACGAGUGGUAACUUGAGGGUAUGGAAACAGAAAAUAAAUUAAUUCUCCUUGAAGAAGAACUGAUCCAGUUAACAGUAAAGAGUUCGCUAGUAACUCCAGCAGAAAAUCCAACGCUGAUCUGCACUGUUUGGAAAAAGAAAUCAUAUAACCAAUAUAGUUUGAGAGCACAAUUAAGAAGUGUAUGGAAAACUAGAAAGUAAUUCGAGAUUAAUAUUGUGGGGCAGAACCUGUUUUCAAUAGUUUUUGAAGACGAGGAUGACUUGGAGCGUAUCAUGGAAGGCCGCCUAUGGCUUUUUCGAAAACAACUAGUAAUUUUUGAUUGAUUAAAGGAACCACUGGAGCGAGGCAAGAUUCGACUGAUUUUUUCCCCUUUUUGGAUAAAAAUAGGGCCAUGUCCUCCAGAAUGCGACAAAAAGGAUCUGAUGCAUGCGGUGGGAUCCACGUUUGGGGGUGUGAUACGAUCAGAGAUUAAAGGGGAUUUUUGUCGGCUUAAGGUCAAUUUAGAUGUUCAGAAACCACUACGGAGAGGUCUGUUUGUCUCUCCAAAUAAUCAAGGAAAAACCUGGCUUCCUUUCAAAUACGAAACCCUACCAAAGUUCUGUUUUGGGUGUGGUCGGAUAGGGCAUGGGGUUAAAGACUACAUGAGUAUUUCGUCUGAAGAAAGAGUAAAGACAGAGGAUGACUUACCUUAUUCAAUAGCGCUCAAAGCUGAAUCUUCUAUCAAAGGAAAAGAAAGCAUAUGGCUCGGGUCCCCGAAAAAGAAAACAAUGAUACAGUGUAACUAUACAGGCAUGGAAGAACCGGAUAGUAACAGUAAGUGCUAUACAAAUUCAUUGAUGCCGGAGAUACAGAUAGAUAUGAAGAUGACAAAAGUUUCAAAAAAAAACGCAAAUGUUCUGGAAGCAGGUGAUGGGGAGGAAAAUAACAAAUUUAAUGAUGGUAUUGAUAGUCUUGGAAAGUGUAUGACCACUGUGGAGGAAAAGUUACAGAAAAACCAAAGUAGCAUGAUAGAAAAUCAAAUAGAUGAAGUGGAGAUUAAAAAUUAUGAAGAAUGGGAAGCAACGCAACAACCGAGAUAUGACAGAAGCAGCUGGCGUAGAUUGGACAGGAAGGAGAACUUUGAUGUAAAUAUGUCAGAAAAGAUCUUGGGUAAAAUACAAGUUUAAUCACGAAGGCCUAGUUGAGAAUGUGACAUAUCCCACUAAUGAAAGUCCGGUUAAAAAAGCAAAGGCAAAUAAGGAUAGGGAGGAUGGUUAUGUCAAUUCUGAUUGUAAGCAGACUGUUUCCCACGUUAGUUCGGAACUGACAAAAGUUAUAUUGGCGGCUGCCAAUGGGCAAGCCGACCGGAAACCAUGAAACUCCUAAGUUGGAAUGUCCGGGGACUGGGGAAUCUCCGGACUAUUAGGAGAUUUCAACACACGUUGAAACUCUACAAACCCCAACUAGUCUGCAUAAUGGAGACAAAAUUGGAUCAUAGACGCAUGAAACUAGUCAGGAGAAAAUGUGGUUUUCAGAACGGGAUAGACUUAUCAGCAACGGGUACACGUGGUGGAAUUUGCCUAUCAUGGAAUGAAAAUUACUUGGUUAAUGUUCUUAGUUAUUCAGAAUCUCAUGUUGAUGCUGAAGUCUCUGAUGAAGAUAACUCAAACAAAUAGAGGUUCACCGGAUUUUAUGGGAAUCCACGAGUCUCAGAUAGGUAGGAAUCUUGGAAUCUUCUUCGAAGGCUACGAGAAACAAAUUCAGGAGCAUGGUGUGUAUGCAGUGAUUUCAACGAGAUUAUGUAUGCUUAUGAAAAAACAGGAGGCGCAACAAGAAAUGAAAGGCAGAUAGAGGCUUUUCGAAAGGUCUUAACAGAUUGUGAAUUAGUUGAUUUGGGUUAUACGGGCCAGAAGUACACAUGGGAGAGAGGCAAUUUCCAGAACACAAAUAUUCAAGAACAGCUAGACCGGGGAGUGGCAAAUAAUGCUUGGCUCAACUUGUUUAGUAAUUACGAGGUACAAAAUCUUCCACAUUUAUUCUCUGACCAUUGUCCGAUUCUAAUCAAAACAGAGAUAAAUAGUGCACAUGAUGGGAGAAACCGCUUUAAGUUUGAGUCUUGGUGGCUUAUGGAACCAAAUUGUGCUGAUGUUAUUAGGCAACUAUGGGAUGAGAAAUCAGGUGAUGCUUUUGCUAAAUUGGAAAAUCUUCGAGCUGGCCUACAAAAAUGGAGACGCAGUAUCAAGUACAUAAAAGAUAGGAAAAUGAAGAACCUUCGAGAUUGACUGGUUCAACUUGAUAGUAUGGAUCGGGACGACGAUGUGAUAGCAGAAAUCUUUGAUGUAAAGCUGGAGCUUAAUUGGGAAAUGAAAAAUGAGGAAUUGUAUUGGGAACAACGGGCCAGAGCCAAUUGGUUGCGUGAGGGUGAUAAAAAUACAAUGUUUUUUCAUAGUAAAGCCACGCAAAGACAGAAGAUGAAUCGUAUCCGGGGAUUAGAAGACAAGAAUGAAAUCCUUAAGACAGAAAGAGAGGAUAUGGAGACCAUCGUUAAAGAUUAUUUUAUGGAGCUCUUUAAAUCAAAAGGGUUGGCAACACAAACCAUCUCUUAUCAGGGGUUAAAAAAUGUGUCAAUGAGGAUAUGAAUCGAAUAUUAGUAGCAGAUUAUAAGGAGUAAGAGAUAGUUGAAGCGCUUAAGAGUAUAGGGCCGACAAAAGCCUCUAGGCCUGAUGACUUCCCAGCUAUUUUCUUUCAGAAAUUUUGGUUUAUUGUGGGCAAGGAGAUUUGUGAGUUUUGCUUAGAAGUCCUAAAUAAAGGUAUGUCUUUGCAACCUUUAAACCAUAUGAAUAUAGUAUUAAUUCCAAAAUCGGCUCACCCGAAUAGCCCCAUAAAUUUUAAACCUAUCUGCCUAUGUUCGAUGUUUUACAAAAUAAUCUAAAAAAUGAUAGUAAAUAGACUCCAAAAGGUUCUUGAUUCUUGUAUUGAUCCAGCCCAAAGUGUGUUUGUCCCUGGAAGGCUUAUUACUGAUAAUGUUCUCAUUGCAUACGAAAUCUUACAUACUCUCCGGAACAAAAGAGUGGGAAAAAAAGGGUUCAUGGCCUCUAAGAUUGAUAUGACUAAGGCAUACGAUAGGGUGGAAUGGGGGUUUCUGAAACAAAUGAUGAUUAAGAUGGGUUUUGAUGAAGAAUGGGUUGCGAGAAUUAUGCAGUGUAUUAAUACGGUCACAUAUUCGGUGAUUUUAAAUGGCGUCCCAGGAAUGGUAUUUAACCCUGAAAGAGGACUACGCCAAGGCGAUCCACUUAGCCCUUUGUUAUUUCUCAUAUGUAGCGGAAGGACUUUCUACACUACUAAGGCUAGCAGCUGAGGAAGGAAGACUAAAAGGGAUCAAAGCAAGCAGACGAGGACCUCAGAUCUCUCACUUGUUAUUUGCUGAUGAUUGCAUUCUAUUUGGGGAAGCAACAGAGAGAGGAAUUACAACAUUUGAACAAAUCCUACAAGAGUACCAGGAAUGUUCCGGUCAAUGCAUUAAUUAUGAAAAAUCAGCGAUGUUUUUCAGCUCAAAUACUUUAGAGAUAGUUCGAGCGAAUAUAUCAAACCGACUGGGAGUUAAAAGGUCCAAUAACUGUGAAAACUACUUGGGUUUACCAAAUAUGGUGGGCCGAAGAAAACGUGGGGCUUUUCAACAUUUAAAAGACCGUAUAAAGAUGAGAAUAGACAAUUGGAGUACUCGUUUGUUAUCUUAAGGAGGGAAAGAGGUGUUCAUUAAAGCUAUUUUACAGCCAAUUCCCACAUACACAAUGUCCUGUUUCUUAUUACCAAUGACUACGUGCUACGAAAUGGAACAAUUGAUGGCCAACUUCUGGUGGCAAAAGGGGAAAGGUAAACGCGGAAUUUAUUGGUGAUCUUGACACAAAUUAUGUGAAUUAAAAGAUGAGGGUGGACUUGGUUAUCGUAAUUUAGCGAAAUUCAAUUUGGCCCUCAUUGCAAAACAAGGGUGGAGAUUAAUUGAUAAUCUGAUGUCCCUUUUGGAGAGAACAUUAAAAGCAAAGUACUAUCAAAACUCUGAUUUCUUAAGGUCGGAGUUAGGAAACUCACCAUCAUAUACUUGGAAAAGUAUAUGGGCAGCCAAAGGGCUACUGCUCUCAGGUCUAAGCUGGAGGGUUGGUGAUGGAAGUAACAUCAAAAUUGAAGAAGAUGCUUGGGUUCCGAAUGCUAAUGGUUUGCUGGUUCAGAAAACAGGCAAUAGGCAAGAGGUUACUAAAGUUUCAGAAUUUAUCGAACAUAGAAAUAGAACAUGGAAGUCGGAGCUGAUUCAUACUACCUUUUCGGCAGAGAUUGCACAACAGAUUUUAUUAAUCCCAUUGGCCCGUUCUCUUCACGAGGACUUUCUGUGUUGGAGAGGCGAGGCAUCUGGCGAAUAUACGGUACGUAGUGGGUACAAAAUUCUCUUACAAAGUAAUGGAAAUUACAACCAAAGUGCGAAUAAUAACUUCUACAAAAAAAUCUGGACAAGUGACCUCCCUUUAAAAAUUAGAAUUACAGCUUGGAGAUCCACUUUUAAUUAUCUUCCUACCCUAGCAAACUUAAAAACAAAGCGAGUAACUAAUAACGACAUUUAUCAGAGGUGCAUGCAAGGGCAGGAAAAUAGAAACCAUCUUUUUCACGAUUGUGCUGUCAGCAAAGAAACAUAGGCAGAGUUAGAGUUUACAUGGCCCCAGAACAUUUUACAGUCCGAAUAUAUGGAAUGGUUUACCUGGACGGUGUUAAACAAUAAACCAGAAGUAGUCCGAAUUUUUAUCUGCGCCAUAUGGGCUAUCUGGUCAGCUAGGAAUAAAUAGGUCCACGAAAGUCAGAAGCGUUCUGGAGCAGAAACAACAAAUUUCAUCCAGAAGUACAUAAGAACUAAAAGUUAUUGAAAGAAAGAAACUCACCUCGGAUCGGAAUUUCAAGGCAUGGAGGCCUCCGCCACAAGGUUUCUUCAAGAUCAACUUCGAUGCUGCUUUUGAUAAAAAGGAGAAAAAGUCAUGUUCAAGAAUAAUAGUCAGGAACCCCAAAGGAGCAGUUACAGUAUCAAAAAAGCAAAUACAUACCAACAUUUCCUCUAGUUUUGCAGCUGAAGCCAUUGCAUGUUUACAGGCAGUUAAUAUAGGCAGAGAACUAGGCUUAACUCAUGUUAUCAUUGAAGGUGACUCUUUGACAGUGAUAAAGAAGAUACAGAAUCAAAAUAGAGACAGAUCGGAAAUAGGGCCUUUCAUUUUUGACAUAAAAGAACGAAGAACAAUGUUUCUUGAAUGUCAGUUCCAACAUGUAAAGAGAACAGAAAAUGCGAAAGCACAUAACCUGGCAUCAGAAGGGCUGAAAAUGGACAGGCAUACAGAUGUUAACCACGGGCAUGCAACGACAACUCUAAUCGGGGCUGGCAACGACACAUCUAAAAAUGGACAGGUUGUUACUGAAGCAGAAGUUGAUCGGGGCUGGAAACGACAUCUCUAAUCGGCUAUGAGUCAUCUUCAAAGAGUUUUUGCUGAAGUUAAAGUAACAGAGAAUAAGGUUCAGGAGAGGACGGAAGGAUAUGAAAUGGAAAAGGAAGGAACAAAAGUAAAUCAAAAGUCAUGAGGCAACAAAUUUCCUUGAAACUCUGGAACGUCUCCAAAAUGAAAAGACAGAUGAAAGGAUGAGACGUACACAGAACUCUCUGAUUGGGUGAAAGGGCUGG
rnacentral:lncRNA from 1 species